rnacentral:tRNA from 1 species
GGGGUUGUGGUUCAGUGGUAGAGCGCUCGCCUAGCAAGUGAGGCACUGGGUUCAAUCCUCAGCACUA